rnacentral:misc_RNA from 1 species
GUGGUUGGGACCAUCAGCACCAAGCGUCCAUAUACGAGCACUGCGAUCAUCAGAUACAGAUACUAGUUUAAAUCCAUCAGCUGACCAUGCAAGGCGGAAAAUUGAGCCUUCAUGUCCAAUUAGUUUACAUAUAUUUAUGGCUUCAUAUUGCUGAUAAGGAAGCUGGAGACCCUCGUAAGUGGUCAAAAUCAAAUUAGGAUUUCCAAUAACAUCAGGACCAGCUUUACGACCCACUUUCCAAACAAGAACCUCAUUUAAGAUUGUACCAGAUGCCACUCGGAGAGAUCCAACAUCGUCGCCCCAAAUCCUCAUGGAG